AACGUAGGGGACAAACGUUAUCCGGAAUUACUGGGCGUAAAGGGCGCGUAGGUGGUCGCGUGCGUCGGUGCUGAAAGCGCCGGGCUUAACCCGGCGAGGCGUGCCGAUACGACGCGACUCGAGGCAGAGAGAGGGUAGCGGAAUUCCGGGUGUAGUGGUGAAAUGCGUAGAGAUCCGGAGGAACGCCAGAGACGAAGGUGGCUACCUGGCUCUGACCUGACACUGAGGCGCGAAAGCGUGGGGAGCGAACCGG
rnacentral:rRNA from 1 species